AUUGAACGCUGGCGGCAUGCCUUACACAUGCAAGUCGAACGGCAGCGCGGACUUCGGUCUGGCGGCGAGUGGCGAACGGGUGAGUAAUACAUCGGAACGUACCCUGUUGUGGGGGAUAACUAGUCGAAAGAUUAGCUAAUACCGCAUACGACCUGAGGGUGAAAGUGGGGGACCGGAAACGGCCUCAUGCAGCAGGAUCGGCCGUUGUCUGAUUAGCUAGUUGGUGGGGUAAAGGCCCACCAAGGCGACGAUCAGUAGCUGGUCUGAGAGGACGAUCAGCCACACUGGGACUGAGACACGGCCCAGACUCCUACGGGAGGCAGCAGUAGGGAAUUUUGGACAAUGGGGGAAAGCCUGAUCCAGCAAUGCCGCGUGUGUGAAGAAGGCCUUCGGGUUGUAAAGCACUUUUGUCCGGAAAGAAAACGCGCUGAUUAAUACCUGGCGUGGAUGACGGUACCGGAAGAAUAAGCACCGGCUAACUACGUG
rnacentral:rRNA from 1 species